GGCCUGUUAGCUCAGUUCGUUAGAGCGCCGUGCUAAUAUCGCGGAGAUCAUGAGUUCGAUCCUCUUACGGGCCA
rnacentral:tRNA from 1 species